AUGAUAAUUUCACUAUUUAUGACGAAGUCAUUAGGAAAGCUAUGCUACUCAAAGCACUUUUUACGUUUGCUUAAAAGCAUUUCAACUCGGUCAGGAAGUUUGCAUUCAUCAAGACUAAUUACAGGGCCUUUUCAAACUAAAAUGGCGCGAAGACCAAUUUCCCAAGAUCAAGGACAGGAAAACAAACUCCUUUUUAAGUUUGGCGUUAUAAGUGAUGUACAAUACGCCGAUAUCGAUGAUAGGCUAAAUUAUGAAGGUACAGUUAUGAGAUAUUAUAGAAAUUCUGUUGACUUAUUACGCAAAGCAGUCGAUUUUUGGAAGCAGAAGGAACCAGAUUUCAUUUUGCAGCUUGGUGACAUUAUUGAAGGAAAUCAUGUUCGAAGUCAAGACCGUGAGCGUACUUUGGAAACUGUGCUUAAUGUUUGCAAAGAACUUGACUGCUAUAUAUGCCAUCUUUGGGGAAACCACGAAUUUUAUUUGUAUAGUAGAGAGGAAUUAGCAGCAACCCAACUUAACAGUAAACUGAAACUGUACAAUGGAAACUCAGCCUCUGCCGCUGCUGAUUGUAAUACUUUGUCACAUCUAAAAAGUGAUUGUGUUGAAGUUCUGUCAGAUCCAACUACUUCAGUAUUAAUCAAUAGUGUCCCUCAUACCACUGAAAGAACUACUGAUAGCGGAAAUAAAUAUUAUUUCACAUUUUCUCCACAUCCAAAAUACAAAUUCAUUGCCAUAGAUUCAUAUGAUGUUAGCAUUUGUGGAAGGGUAGAAGGUGAACCUGAAUAUGAAGAGGCAAAUAAAAUUCUAGCAAUUAAAAACACUAAUGACAACUGGAACUCGCCAUAUGGCCUUAAGGAACCACAUUUUGUGAAAUUUAAUGGCGGAUUAAGUAAAGAUCAGAUCGAAUGGCUAGACAAAGAACUUGCACUUGCUGAAGAAAAGCAGGAAAAUGUUGUCAUCAUCAGCCAUAUUCCCAUUCAUCCAAAAAGUACAAUUUUUUUAUGCAAUUUAUGGAAUUUCCAGGAUGUUCUUGAUGUAAUCUGGAAGUAUUCAUGCGUCAAACUAUGUCUUUGUGGACAUUCACAUGAAGAUGGUGACUUUAUUGACCAUAAAGGAAUCCAACAUAUUGUAUUUCCUGCUGUUUUAGAAUGCAAUAAACAGGAAAAUGCAUUUGCAAAUGUUUUUGUUUUUGAAAAUAAAAUAAAAAUUUUUGGAUAUGGCAAAGUUAAAUCAUUUGACAUUGGUGUUUAAUUUUUAACAAAUUUAUUCUUUGUUUUGUUUUUCAAUUGUGUAAAAUCAAUCUCUUUGAAUUGCAUUUUUAGAAUCAUUAUUAUUUGUAUGUUGACAUGCUUAGUUUUUAAGCCAAAUUAAGUAGUAAUUAUAGCAUUUUCUGCAUCCAUUAUUUAUUCCCAAGAAUUUAUUCACUGAGGCAUCUUUAUAAGCCCAAUAUGUAUUAGUUGACUGCCCUAAAUCCAGUUUUACACAGCUUACAUUUUGUUUAAUAAUUUCAAUAUAAUUCACUGAAAUAAGAAUUGUCUAUUUUUUCCAAUUUGAAAUCUUUCUGUUGUGCCUCCUAACAUCACUGUUGAGACUUUUUUUAUUUAGUCAACAGUGUUAAUUGUUUGACAUAUAAAAAUAUAGUUCACAUUGCGCUACUGUUUUGGAUCUAUUAAACACCUUCUCUCUUAUAAGCACCCUCUCUCUAAUAACUACCUCCUCCAAUAAAUAUCUCCCAAAAAAUUAAAUUUGUUAAAUAAAUUCCCACCCUCCAAAAAACCCCAUGGGCUAGUUGAAUUAUUGCAAAAAAGCAUUUUCGUUUUUUAUGUCACUUUUAUAAAAAAUGUAAAAAAAUAUCAAUCAUGAAAUUGUUUAAACGUAGCACCUUGUCCAUCUAUGCUAUUUUUUCAGAUGAUAAAAAGCAUCAUAUUUCAAAAAGAGAAAUGAAUGGUGCCAUACAGGUUAUGGAAAAUUGAAAACUGUCACCUCUUUUGAUGACGAUGAGAAUUGAUUUGAAAUAUGAUGUUUGCAACGUUGAGGAGAAACUAAAAUGGAUUAGAAUAAAGAGGAGAAUGAUUUUUAACAAUUGAUUAGAUUUGUAUAUUGGUUUUAAAAAACGAUUUUUUUUGCAAAUUUGCCCUCCUCACUAACAAAAGCCUCUUUCCUCUCCACAAGUUGCCUCUCAUAGAAGCCAACAAUUCUUAUAAUCACCCAGGCUUUUACUAGAUCAAAUAGGGUACUUAAAAUAAAGACUUUUAAAGCUUGAACUAAUGCCAAAUCUAAACCUACAAGGCCCAGGCACCGCAGAGAAGGGGGGCUAUAGUCCCCACUUUUUGCCACAAGUGCAAGAAACUUACCAAUGAAUCGGCAGUUAAGCCACUUUUCAUUCGGUUCUAGAGCCUCCACUUUUUUCAACCCUCCGCAGUGACUAAUGCCCACCAAAAUCUUGCUACACAAACAUCCGUUUUCAAGGGUAAAUUCAGCUAUCCCCCUUCUCCGCUUAGAUUUAAGUUUACUAUAAAAUGUUUCUUCCUGCAAUAUCUAUAAUAAGAAAGUGUGAUUCUUCCUGCAACUUCUAUAAUAAUUUUUCAUAAGGGGAUGCAGAAGUAGGGAUAUUUGGGAAAAUAAUUGAAAAAUAUAAAAACACAACAUGUAUAGCUGGGUGUUCCAAAUACUUUUGGCAAUGAUUGUGGAGUAAACGCCAGUAAUUGAAAACUAGGAAAAUUUUCUAACCAUUAAUUUGAGAAAGCUGAUUAUUCAACAUCACUAAAUUUGUUUCAAUGCUGUCAAUAAAAAGUACUUAAAAAUGACCCUCACAAAAUCACUCCCUUUUUAAAAUCAAUAUCCUUUUCCGGGCCUGAUAAAGUGAGGCAUAUGAUCUGAUAUACAUGCCUCAACCAACAGGAAGUUUACUAUUUCUUUCUAGAAAAAUUUAUAGAAAAAAAAUCGGGAGAGGGCAUGAAGAAGCUCAUAAAAGAAAGCUUAAAACUAAUAUUAUUGUUGAAAACCAAAAUUGUUUAGUGUUUUGAUCGAUCGUAGCUUUCAACAUUCGUGAUAUCUCAGUUUUACAAUGGAAAUUCCAAAUGAGAAAUUUUCCCGCUUUUUAUCGCUACAAAUAGAGUUAUAUGUUGUAAGCUCUAGAUUUUCUACCUUUGAGAGGGGAAAGCCAAUAGAUAUUUGCGAAGUGGUACAUUAAUGCUUUUUGUUGAUAGAAAUGGGCGUGUCUCAAUCUUUAAGGGUGUUGUCAAAAGAUAAAUACUCUUGCAUGCUGCUUAUGUGCGUUUCUAUUUCAAAAUUCAUACUUCAGUGCCAUACUUUGCAAUUUUAACUCCUACAGAAAUGUUAAUACGUUAGAAUUGUUGCCCAAAAGUUUACAGCUUGAGGAACAAUUUCUUCUUUUUACCUGCAAAAUUUCUUUAUGCGCCGACGGAAAAAGUGUUGGGUGAACCGUGCCCCCCAUAGCGCGACCCCUUUGACGACGCCCUUAACCUUUUUAGAUCAAAUUUUGAUAAUCUUGUUACAAAGAUGUUUUAUUUAAACUCAUUUAAAAGAACUCUUUGGAAGUGGAAACAUAAUUGAAUAUAGUAAGCGUCGUAACUCUUGACAUAAAUAUAUUUACAGAGAGUUGCGUUAAAAAAUUUAUUUUCAUUUUGGUUCUCCUCUUUGUCUUUGUCUCUGAUUGUUUGUGUUUCAUGAUGGCUUAAACUUGAUCUCAUACAUGUUUCUUAUUAACCAGUCCAUGAAACUCUUUGAGUGGUCCGGCUCAAUGACUGCAUCUUUUUCUUCAGAUCUUUAUAUUGCUCCAGUGGGGCUUGGUCCUGACAAAAGAUUGAAAAGAGAGAACUUUUAUUCAAUCAUCAUCAUCAUCAUCAUCAAUCUCUAUCAUCAAUCAUAGUUAACCAUAGUCAAUCAUCAAGAUCAGCAAUCGUUAUCAAUACCAAUAUUCAUCAUCAUCAAACUUCAUCAUCAGCCAACAUUACAAUUAUAAUCAAUCUUUUUCGUCGACAUCAACAAUGAUUCGUUUUUGUAAUCAUAAUCACCGUCCUAUGUAUCAUUACAAUCAAUCAUUACCAAAUAAAUCAUCGUUAUCCUGGGCAAAAAUCCUAUAGCGUGGUACUGUAUUAUUCAUUAUCGAUCAGGGUUUAAUGUUUUGCUGAACCUAUGUUGCAAGCUGUUUUUUUCUUAAACUUUUUUAGCAGUGACUCUUUCUUCCUUCUGUUACGUUUGUGGAUCCGAGCAGAGAGAGACGUAGAAUGAUCAAGACAUUUGUACUUUGUAACUUAGAUUCUGAUCGUCAACUCAAGUCCACUACUCUAACUUUUACUGAUAUAUCCUUGGUUAAUGUAGCAUGUAAUGACGUUAAUGAUAUGGGUUGUUGACACAUACAAAUAGAACAAUGGCAAUGGAUCAUUACACUUCAAUUCUGAUUGAUUAAGAUUAUGAUUAUGAUCUAUGUUUAUUAUUGUUCAUGCACAUAUUUAACAUAGAUAAGUAGCUCUUGGUACUUUUGUAUUGAACAACAACUUCAACAUCAGACCAUCUAUAAUUUCAAUGCAAAGGUUUUUUUUGAAGAUUCAACUUACCUCUUUGUUACUAUCUUUCUUUCUCAACCUAGGGGAAAACAGAAUGCAUGAGUUGUGUCGCAGUUGGGCAAUCGCUGAAAGAAUGCUUUAUCUAAACACAUAAAAUUCGCAUGUAUUGACGGUGUUGCAACAAUAACAGAAGUCGUCGAUUUAUCUUCUUGGCCAAGCCUCUGUGGAGGAGAAGGGGAAAGAUCAACUUUCUCGAGCAUGUUGUCUUGCAGUUCUCCUUGAAUUUCACCAAUCGACGUAACAAUGAAAUUGAAAUUGAAAGCCCUGGUGGAAGCAGAUCUGUUCUUCAACGCUCAGGACUCCAUUGGUAACAUUUUCAAGAGGGAGCAUUUGAAUCACGAAACAUCCUUUGACACCCACUUUGGUUUCUGUGGAGAAUUUGAGUAUAUAUAAAAAUUUUACUUCAUUCUAAAUGAUUUAUUAACUGUAUAUGUUCAGAACGUUAUUGGAUGCUAGCAAUAUCAUCGAAUUCAACUCACUAAGUUGGGCGAGUUCAUUUCCAAAACGCAUUCUAUCUUGAAUUCCACGUGCGUAUGUCAAAUCACCAGCUACAACCUCUCUUCGAGUUUUCCUCUUUGAUGGUCUCGCAUAUACAGAAACAGAUCCACGUACGAUGACAUAGAAACUGAAAGUCAGAAAAAUUGAUAUCAAACUUGAAACUCUUGUAUGUCAUUGUAGGCCUAAAUGGUGUACCGUUCGCUCUGUCUGUGGUUUCUUGUUCAUUUGCACCAAGCAGAUAUGUGACAAAAUUGCACCCCUUUCUCCGAGAUAUUGAAGACACGGGUGCUUACACUGGACAAUGAGAGUGGACCCGCCGGGACCUUGAGUAUUUGAGACACAAAUUUUCGACCGUGGAAAUGGAAAACCAAGCGGAGAAGCGGAGGAGCAUAGACUCUCGAAUUUACGUGGCUCUGGUACCCAGGGUAGCAAACGUUAAUGUCCCCUUUGCCAAAAAUUACGGAUCAAUGUUUAGACGUAUCUUUUUGCCUGGACAACUCGAGUAGAUAAAAACAAAAUCUAUAGAAAUCAAAAGUCGAGUAAAAUUAGAUAAAAAUUGACAGGGCAUCAGGCGAGGAAUCCUUUAUUUUUCAAGUAUGUAAAAUAUUAUCGUCUUUCGAAGGUCUUCGAAAUUGUUCUAGUUUAAAGUCACAAUUUUAUUGUAAGAUCGCAGCUGCAAGUGAUUGGUCUGGGAUAGUAAUCUUCAUGUAGAUGGACACUGUGGGGUAUUAUACACAUGUCAUCGUUCUCUCCACUAAUAGCAUGGGUUGUGUAUUACCAUAAACUCCUCUUUCUGUUACAUUAUAAUCACAUUUUCUUAAGAAUUGAUAUUUUCGAUGGAUUUUCUGCAUAAUUCACUGUGUGAUUCAACCCUCUCUUGUCUAAGAAUAAACACCCAUUCCUGAAUUAUUAACAAAGCUUUUCCAAGCACACUUUUAAAACACAAUACAUGAUUUAUUCAAAGGGUGCGGGGUGAAAGUUGGCGCCAAUGCACUUUCAGUCCAAAUAUUUUCACAGACAUUCGUUUUUUAUCAACAAGUUAAUCAUUAACUUUUUCUUCAUAAUUGUUGGCUAGCGAGUUAACGGUUAACAGGUUUUCGAAAAAAGAUUCAGUAAUCACCCAAGACAUGUUCUCAGUUUCUCGGUUUCAGGCUGAACAUUUUGGAGACAGUUUUGGUAAAGCAUCAUAUCCUUGAUCAAGUAUUUGAAAGCUAUCAAAGAUAUGAACAAAGAUUUUAUGUCCAGCUUGAAGGAAUCUAGAAUCUUUGUGUGGCCGUACCAACUUGCCGCAACUUGGUUACGAAUGAUAAUUGAGGAAUAUGGAGGCAGGACAAUACUGUUGUCCAUCUGUAUGUCUAGUGUCUUAUUUUCUUGACCACGGUUAUAAAAGUUAAAAAUGAAAGGUAUUGAAAAUUUUCAUGAGCAUGAAACUAUUCAUUACCAUCAUCAUCAUCAUCAUCAUCAUCAUCAUCAUCAUUACAUUUAAGUUUAGCAACCCUUUUGAGUCAUACAAAUGUCUGCCUAGUCAACUACAACAUUAAAAUUUACUGAGGUGAUUUCGGCCAGUAGUACUUUAUUUUAAUUGGUCGUAUCAGACUACUAAUCGUUAUCCUCGUUUUUGAGAAAUAGGAUCAAAAGUAUUUUGGUAAAGGAAUCGUUAAAAUUUACCAUCGUUUUUCAGAAGAAAAUUUUUUUCAAGAAUACAACCCUCAAAUUAGUCAAAUGUUAGAACAAAGAAAGAACAAGCGGUGGCUGAGCUUUAAUUAUGAACAUUUUUGCCAAGCCCCACUAAAACAUUUAAUCUCAAAACCAGGAUUUUUUUCCAUUCAGGGGUGCCUUUAUCGGUGAAUUUCCAAACUUUCCGGCAAAUAAAAGAUGGCUCAAUAACUUUUUUGGCAAAUGAGGCCUAAACAGCCCCCUAGAGCACGCUAGCUAGCAAUUCACUGCUUAUACCAGGGGUGGGUGUCCUUUUUAGAGAGUGGGCCAGAUCGUUCAAACCUUUGUAUUAAACGGGCCAAAGGUAAUGAGAACAACGAAUACGAUAGUUUGAAUAAGAUGAUAAAAAAAUAAUAUUGAAAAAGUUUCAUUUGAAUUCAAUUUUACUAAAAUAGAAACCGCUUUAUUACAUAGAAAGUUUACAACUGGUUAACCUGACUUUACAAGGUAAGAUUAUUACAAUCGUAAGUGCAGGAAGGAAAAUUAACAAGAAACAACCAAAAGCAAUAAAAUGAUGUUAUUGAAGGUUUUGAGAAAUAAUCUUAGGAAAGAAAUGCAGGAUUAUUCACCAGUCAACGUUUAGCAUCGGUCUUUUAGCCAAGACUGUAUAGCCUUCAAUAUACGUAAACAUCAAUUUAUCAAAUAUAAGCUCCCCGGAGCAGUACCAACUGGGACAUGACAAACUAGGUACAACUGUAAUCCCUGCAUAACUGCUAUGAGUGCGCCCAGCAAUCAUAAAAAGAGUGUAUACUGUAAAAAUAUGAAAGUAAAAGACCUAUCUUGGCAAUAAGAGUAGCUCGUUGUUCUGAUUGCUUGUUGUCCUGAUGUUGAAGAUAGUUUUCAUUUAAGUUUAAGUUUCAUUUGCAGCGAGGAAACAAAACUCCUUUACGAAUAUAUUUUUAGUUUCUUGCAAUCUUUACAACCCUCCCCCCACCCUCCUAACUGAAUUUCAAAUUGUGCUCCUAACUGAAAGUCUAAAAUUGUGCUGGGCGAGAAGUUGAGCCUAUCAGAUACUUUUUUAUGUCACGAACUGCUUUCAAUAGUGAUAUUUCAAAUAAAUCCUGCAAGACAACUUACCUACAUAUUUUCCUCCUUGGCCGUUUUUGCCAGUGAAUUGGAUUACAUUGCCAGUGAGUAAAUUUAGAUACAUUCAUGGAUCUUAAAGAUUUUCUCUCAUUUUCACACUUAAAGACCGCAGGCAGAGGCUCGCGGCAAAGCAAUCCCUUGGUUAUUUCACAUUUCACAACUCUUUAUUUUGAAAGCUUAGCACAGGACUUGACGACUCAUAACAACCCUUUCACGCCAAUCAUGAAGCGAACGUGUAGCAUUAUUGUAAUGUUGACGAAAAAGGCGAAAAAUUUAGAUCCUUUGUGUUACUGCAAGUUUCUAUGUCUUGAAACACGUCAUCGAGACCACUGCUCAAGAUAAUCCCAGUACCGCCGCUGCGCUUUCCAGAAUGCUAAGCAACGCAGGAAAAUAUCAUUUUGGCGAGAACUUGUGGGUGUCCAUAUUGAAACCUCCCUUGUGAUUUUUCAUUUUUCAAUGCAGAAUGAAAUCAUCAGAAAUUUGCUGACUUUGAUAUUUGACUUUGAUACAGGCUCAUCUAGUCGUGAUUGCAGAUUUUAAUUGAAUAGGAAUAGUCUAUCCUCAAUGAGACAUUAAAUUUAACAUAGCAGAGUAUGUAAUUUUCCAAGUUGUUGCACCUGUAGAAGUGUCAAUUAUGGAGCUUUAGUCUGGUUUUUCAGAAAUUUCAGUUUCUUUAGACAAUUUGAACGAUAUUUCAGCAGUUGCAACACUAGCAGGCAAGUCAGAAACAACCUUAAUGCAAUGAAAGCAUUGGGAAAUAAGCAUUUUGAACUUCAAUGCUAAAGCUUGUUCAACAGCUGCAAUGGUUGAUGCUCCUUAG